rnacentral:rRNA from 1 species
GACGAACGCUGGCGGCGUGCUUAACACAUGCAAGUCGAACGGAAAGGCCCUGCUUUUGUGGGGUGCUCGAGUGGCGAACGGGUGAGUAACACGUGAGUAACCUGCCCUUGACUUUGGGAUAACUUCAGGAAACUGGGGCUAAUACCGGAUAGGAGCUCCUGCUGCAUGGUGGGGGUUGGAAAGUUUCGGCGGUCGGGGAUGGACUCGCGGCUUAUCGGCUUGUUGGUGGGGUAGUGGCUUACCAAGGCUUUGACGGGUAGCCGGCCUGAGAGGGUGACCGGCCACAUUGGGACUGAGAUACGGGCCAGACUCCUACGGGAGGCAGCAGUGGGGAAUAUUGCACAAUGGGCGGAAGCCUGAUGCAGCAACGCCGCGUGCGGGAUGACGGCCUUCGGGUUGUAAACCGCUUUCGCCUGUGACGAAGCGUGAGUGACGGUAAUGGGUAAAGAAGCACCGGCUAACUACGUG